AUUGAACGCUGGCGGCAUGCUUUACACAUGCAAGUCGAACGGUAACAGGCCGCAAGGUGCUGUCGAGUGGCGAACGGGUGAGUAAUGCAUCGGAACGUGCCCAGUCGUGGGGGAUAACUACUCGCAAGAGUAGCUAAUACCGCAUACGAUCUAUGGAUGAAAGCGGGGGACCGUAAGGCCUCGCGCGAUUGGAGCGGCCGAUGUCAGAUUAGGUAGUUGGUAGGGUAAAGGCUCACCAAGCCAACGAUCUGUAGCUGGUCUGAGAGGACGAGCAGCCACACUGGGACUGAGACACGGCCCAGACUCCUACGGGAGGCAGCAGUGGGGAAUCUUGGACAAUGGGCGCAAGCCUGAUCCAGCAAUGCCGCGUGCAGGAAGAAGGUCUUCGGGUUGUAAACUGCUUUUGUACGGAACGAAACGGCUCUGGUUAAUACCCGGGGGUAAUGACGGUACCGUAAGAAUAAGCACCGGCUAACUACGUG
rnacentral:rRNA from 1 species